UAGGUUCCCUCAAUUCUAUGCCAGAAAUUUAUUUCUCCUUACUUCCUCACCAAGAACAGAGAUAAAUCUUUUGAAUCUAAGGUAACCCAUCUAAGGCUUCCUUUGGAUGCAGAAUCAACCAUGGUGAGAUGAAAUUUUGAAGGAAUAUUCUUUUUCCCUGCAUUGUGUUGGUGUUUGGAGAAACAAUAGUGAGGUGCAGUUAAAAAUUUGAACCUCACUACCAGCCUCAUUUCCAACCAGAGAUUUGGGAUAAUCUUCACAGAUGUUUUCUUUUUCAUUGAGGUUAGGUUCCCUCAAUUCUAUGCCAGAAAUUUACUUCUCCUUACUUCCUCACCAAGAACAGAGAUAAAUCAUUUGAAUCCAAGAUUUGGGAAAAUCUUCACAAAGGUUUUCUUUUUCAUUGAGGUUAGGUUCCCUCAAUUCUAUGCCAGAAAUUUACUUCUCCCUACUUCCUUACCAAGAACAGAGAUAAAUCCUUUGAAUCUAAGUUAGAGACUGCAAGUGUAAAAGUCCCAGAACUUGAUUUGGAGCUAGCUAGUGGCACACUUGGUGGGGUUGUUACAACGGUUGAAGGUUUGAUUACCAAAAUUAGUGAAAAUUUGGGAACAAAACAGCCAUAUCUCCCCUCGUUUUUGCUAGUUUCUUCUAUCAUUGUUGCUGUUUUCAGAUAGUUUUAGCCUCUGGUUGAGAUAGUUGCAGCCGACGAGGUUCGACCAGUGACACCGCAAUCAAGGUGAGAUGGUUUGCUGUCGCUCACUGUUAUUAUUUUUGUUAUUGUUAUUGCUUUUCUUUUGAGUAGUCUGGUUCUCUUAAACAGAAUUCAAACAAAUCAUACAAGUCAAUAGAUUAUUGGGUUCUUGAAACUGAUAUUCCCUUGCAAUCAAGUACUCAACAUGCACACAUACAUAAUAUUAACUGUAAUAAAAAGACCAAGGUGUCAUUUUCAUGUAACAUAGAAAGCGGAAAUCCAUAGAUUUUACAAUACAUACAUAGCCUAAUCCUAAGUUGUAAAACCAUCUUAAUAGUUUGCUGAACCAAGUAAAACAGAACUAAGGUUGUGGUUGGGGAGGAGGGCCCUGGCUCUUUAUUACAGAACUAAGGUUGCUGAACCAAGUAAAACAGAACUAGUUCUGGGGUUAGUAUUAGGCCCUGGCUCUUUAUAAUCCAUGAUUUCAAUCAUCUCCCUUGCUCUCUCUGCACAUUCCUCCUUCCCAUACAUUUAUGGAAAAAGAAAAGAAAAAGAAAACCCAAUUUUAGCUCCUGAAAUUGAAAAUAAAAGACUAGAUAAAAUCAAAGGAAAUAGAGAAAAAUCAACCUCCAAUUGAACGUUGUAUUCUCGAAACUCAACAUUAUUCUCCAUCCAUUUCCUACUCAAUCCUAAGCAUCGAAAAACAAAACAAAGUGUAUAUAUAUAGAUAAUGUUAACUCCAAAACUGGGUUGAAAAGAACUGCAUGACAAAAAAGAUAAUGCUUUAAAUUUAUAUUCUUGACCAUCCUACAGGCGUUGCUUAAAUCAUUGUGAAACACUGUACUUCGAGGAACCAUAACUAUUAAAUCAAAUUAAGUGAUGUUCGUACCCUUGAGUUCUAAAAUUUCUAUAAUCUCGUUACUGAGGUGAUCUCAAACAAUUCAAACACAUGGCUAUGGUUUUUUUUCCAAUAGACAUGUUCUUGUCCAAAUAUAUAACACCUGAUUUGGUUGAAAACAUAUCAAUUUCAUAGAUUACAUGACAAUAGAGCAGUUUAGAUAUCACUCUCAUCUAACCAUGCUUGUAAUCAUUUGAGAAAUAUAUAAGCCAUAAAACAUUUCAAUGCUGCCUAAAAAACUACGGUUAAAGUUUUUCAAAGAAAAUAAACUCUGAUAAA